GAGUUUGAUCUUGGCUCAGAACGAACGCUGGCGGCAGGCUUAACACAUGCAAGUCGAACGCAUCCUUCGGGGUGAGUGGCAGACGGGUGAGUAACGCGUGGGAACGUGCCCUUCAGUUCGGGAUAACCCAGGGAAACUUGGGCUAAUACCGGAUACGUGCGAGAGCAGAAAGAUUUAUCGCUGAAGGAUCGGCCCGCGUCUGAUUAGCUAGUUGGUGAGGUAAUGGCUCACCAAGGCGACGAUCAGUAGCUGGUCUGAGAGGAUGAUCAGCCACAUUGGGACUGAGACACGGCCCAAACUCCUACGGGAGGCAGCAGUGGGGAAUAUUGGACAAUGGGCGCAAGCCUGAUCCAGCCAUGCCGCGUGAGUGGUGAAGGCCUUAGGGUUGUAAAGCUCUUUCAGUGGGGACGAUAAUGACGGUACCCGCAGAAUAAGCCCGGCUAACUUCGUGCCAGCCGCCGCUGUAAU
rnacentral:rRNA from 2 species